rnacentral:lncRNA from 1 species
AAAAGAUCACAUUUUAUUUCGAGGCUAUCUUUUUCAACUGAAAUAACAUACAUAAAUUAAGCUACAUUAAACUGUUCAAAUUAAGAUACAACUUAUUGUGAAUUUUAAGAUACUAUCACAUAAAUCUACUAAGUCCAACGUGACUAUUUUCCUUUUCCAUCAGCAGCUUCUGUGGUCCCUUGGCCUCACGAGCCCUUUCUUUCUUUCUGUGCCUCUCCACCUCACGAGCCUCAUGUCGUUGCUGUUGCGCCUACUCCAGGCGACGUACCUCUUCCCAUUUUUCUUCAUCAUCUCCUCAAAGAAACACUUCCGCUUUGCAUGGUACUUUUUAACUCCCCUUCUUUCUAUGUUUUCUCCAUCGCUUCUGCCUUUUCACGAUGCUCUUCUGCGUGCAAACUUUCCCAUGCACGACGACCACUUUCACGAAUUUGAGUCAUCGCCCAAGCUGGCAUCUUCAUGUCUAUCCAACAAUAGUAGUACAUACACAGAGGCGAAGGAGACUACAACAAGAAUAAAAAUGUCAAUAAAAAAAUAAUACCAACAAUGUGUGGGCUCUUGAUGGUUAAAGAAUACCGAAGGCUUGUCGUACGGUGAACUAGCUACGAAUGGAUUUUCCUCAUAAUUGAAGCACAUGAAAAAUUCAUGCCCAACCAAUCAGAAAAAUUCAUCACCUCCUUCACCUUGCAAAGACCGCCACACCAAUAGCGCAG